rnacentral:rRNA from 1 species
UACGUAGGGGGCAAGCGUUGUCCGGAAUCAUUGGGCGUAAAGAGCGUGUAGGCGGUUCGGUAAGUCGGCUGUGAAAGUCGGGGGCUCAACCCUCGGAUGCCGGUGGAUACUGUCGGGCUUGAGUACGGAAGAGGCGAGUGGAAUUCCUGGUGUAGCGGUGAAAUGCGCAGAUAUCAGGAGGAACACCAAUUGCGAAGGCAGCUCGCUGGGACGUUACUGACGCUGAGACGCGAAAGCGUGGGGAGCAAACAGG